GUUUUAAUAGUUUAAUAAAAAAACAUUGGUCUUGUAAAUCAAAAAUAAAAAAAUUUUUUUUAAAACA
rnacentral:tRNA from 1 species